AGUGAACGCUGGCGGUAGGCCUAACACAUGCAAGUCGAACGGCAGCACAGUAAGAGCUUGCUCUUACGGGUGGCGAGUGGCGGACGGGUGAGGAAUACAUCGGAAUCUACUUUUUCGUGGGGGAUAACGUAGGGAAACUUACGCUAAUACCGCAUACGACCUACGGGUGAAAGCAGGGGAUCUUCGGACCUUGCGCGAUUGAAUGAGCCGAUGUCGGAUUAGCUAGUUGGCGGGGUAAAGGCCCACCAAGGCGACGAUCCGUAGCUGGUCUGAGAGGAUGAUCAGCCACUGGAACUGAGACACGGUCCAGACUCCUACGGGAGGCAGCAGUGGGGAAUAUUGGACAAUGGGCGCAAGCCUGAUCCAGCUAUACCGCGUGGGUGAAGAAGGCCUUCGGGUUGUAAAGCCCUUUUGUUGGGAAAGAAAAGCAGCAGGUUAAUACCCCGCUGUUCUGACGGUACCCAAAGAAUAAGCACCGGCUAACUUCGUG
rnacentral:rRNA from 1 species